UAAUCUAAACUAGAUUAAAAAAUUAAAAAAAAAAAAAGUUUUCUGUGACUUAUAAAAUAAGAAAUAUUUUUUUUCUAGACUUCUUAAUACUUACAAAACCAAGUGUGCCGUGAUAUGCUGUAGGAGUGGAUACAAAAAGCAAAAUAUCAAAUACAAAAAGAAAAAGCUACAUUUACAAUUGAUAAAAUAAGCAAUGGCAACCCUAGAGAAGAACAACAAAAAAAUUUGUCUAAAAAGUUCCUCCAAAGACAGGACAUUUAUACAGAAAAACAAGAUACCUGGCGGAAUCAAACCAGCAAGAUAUAAUACUCACCACUGAUAUAUCAACAUUGGGUGUAUCAACCACUCCAC